UGGCUAAUGUGUCUUGGCUAAUGUGUCUUGGCUAAGGUGUCUUGGCUAAGGUGUCUUGGCUAAGGUGUCUUCGCUAAUGUGUCUUGGCUAAGGUGUCUUGGCUAAUGUGUCUUGGCUAAUGUGUCUUGGCUAAUGUGUCUUGGCUAAUGUGUCUUGGCUAAGGUGUCUUGGCUAAUGUGUCUUGGCUGAUGUGUCUUGGCUAAUGUGUCUUGGCUAAUGUGUCUUGGCUAAUGUGUCUUGGCUAAGGUGUCUUGGCUAAUGUGUCUUGGCUAAGGUGUCUUGGCUAAUGUGUCUUGGCUAAUGUGUCUUGGCUAAGGUGUCUUGGCUAAGGUGUCUUGGCUAAGGUGUCUUGGCUAAUGUGUCUUGGCUAAGGUUUCUUGGCUAAUGUGUCUUGGCUAAUGUGUCUUGGCUAAGGUGUCUUGGCUAAGGUGUCUUGGCUAAUGUGUCUCGGCUAAUGUGUCUUGGCUAAUGUGUCUUGGCUAAUGUGUCUUGGCUAAUGUUUCUUGGCUAAUGUGUCUUCGCUAAUGUGUCUUGGCUAAUGUGUCUUGGCUAAGGUGUCUUGGCUAAUGUGUCUUGGCUAAUGUGUCUUGGCUAAUGUGUCUUGGCUAAGGUGUCUUGGCUAAUGUGUCUUGGCUAAGGUGUCUUGGCUAAGGUGUCUUGGCUAAGGUGUCUUGGCUAAUGUGUCUUGGCUAAUGUGUCUUGGCUAAUGUGUCUUGGCUAAGGUGUCGUUUCCAAGGUGUCUCGGCUAAGGUGUCUUGGCUAA